CUACGGGGCGCUGCAGUGAGGAAUAUUGCACAAUGGGGGGAACCCUGAUGCAGCAACGCCGCGUGGAGGAUGACGCAUUUCGGUGUGUAAACUCCUUUUAUAUGUCAAGAAAAUGACGGUAGCAUAUGAAUAAGCCCCGGCUAACUCCGUGCCAGCAGCCGCGGUAAUACGGAGGGUGCAAGCGUUACUCGGAAUCACUGGGCGUAAAGGACGCGUAGGCGGGUUGGAAAGUCAGGUGUGAAAUCCUACAGCUUAACUGUAGAACUGCACUUGAAACUUCUAAUCUAGAGUAUGGGAGGGGGAGAUGGAAUUAGUGGUGUAGGGGUAAAAUCCGUAGAUAUCACUAGGAAUACCUAAAGCGAAGGCGAUCUCCUGGAACAUUACUGACGCUAAGGCGUGAAAGCGUGGGGAGCAAACAGGAUUAGUACCCCUGUAGUC
rnacentral:rRNA from 1 species